rnacentral:rRNA from 1 species
UACGAAGGGGGCUAGCGUUGCUCGGAAUUACUGGGCGUAAAGGGAGCGUAGGCGGAUAGUUAAGUCAGAGGUGAAAGCCCAGGGCUCAACCUUGGAAUUGCCUUUGAUACUGGCUAUCUUGAGUAUGGGAGAGGUAAGCGGAACUCCGAGUGUAGAGGUGAAAUUCGUAGAUAUUCGGAAGAACACCAGUGGCGAAGGCGGCUUACUGGCCCAUUACUGACGCUGAGGCUCGAAAGCGUGGGGAGACAAA